rnacentral:rRNA from 1 species
GACGAACGCUGGCGGCGUGCUUAACACAUGCAAGUCGAACGAAGAGCGAUGGAAGCUUGCUUCUAUCAAUCUUAGUGGCGAACGGGUGAGUAACGCGUAAUCAACUUGCCCUUCAGAGGGGGACAACAGUUGGAAACGACUGCUAAUACCGCAUACGAUCUGACCUCGGCAUCGAGGAUAGAUGAAAGGUGGCCUCUACAUGUAAGCUAUCACUGAAGGAGGGGAUUGCGUCUGAUUAGCUAGUUGGAGGGGUAACGGCCCACCAAGGCGAUGAUCAGUAGCCGGUCUGAGAGGAUGAACGGCCACAUUGGGACUGAGACACGGCCCAGACUCCUACGGGAGGCAGCAGUGGGGAAUCUUCCGCAAUGGACGAAAGUCUGACGGAGCAACGCCGCGUGAGUGAUGACGGCCUUCGGGUUGUAAAGCUCUGUUAAUCGGGACGAAAGGCCUUUUUGCGAAUAGUGAGAAGGAUUGACGGUACCGGAAUAGAAAGCCACGGCUAACUACGUG